GGAGAGGCAGCAGGUUUCUCUAACUCUAGCGGCAGCACUGCAAGGAUGAAGAUGCUCUGGCAGCCCCUUCUGUCCCUCUCCUGGGGCUCGGGGCAGUUGCUCUGCCCUUGUGCUCCCACAGCUACAACUCUUGUCUCAACGAGCAGGAACUCCAGGCAGCUGCAAGAGGCGAGGCCGGCCCCUCAGCAAGGGAAGGACCAUUCCCUGCCCCAUUUUAACCUUGGCGGGUCCGAUCCCGCCGGAUCCCGGGCACUGCCAGCGCCCGCCGACCUCAGCUGGGCCAGGGCAGGGAGGAGAGGGGAGUGGGGGGCUGCCCCCCGCCGCGUAGGGCCCAUGGCCGCCGCCGCACAGAAGACUCCUGAGGCCGGGGUGCGGCUCCCUCCUCAACCCGCUUGGCCCCGCGAACGCAGGGAACCCCAGGCAGGACCGCCUCCGAGGCCUGUCGGGGCGCUCUCAGAGCGGGAGAGGAAGGUUGCUGCGAGACAGCGCGUUCCCGAAACGGUCUCGACUGCGCCUGCGCGGCAGCCAGCCGGCUGCCCGGGAGGGAGAAGUGCGCGUGCGCGGCGGCUGCCGGUCGGUGAACGGGGGCGCCGCUGCAGAGCGUGCGAUGACCUGGCGGCCAAUAGGACGCGAGCUGCUUCUGCGCGUGCGCGGCGAGCCCAUUGUUGUCCUGUAUUGUGCCUGCUGUCUGUGACUUGCAACGGUGUCCUGUUCACCUCUUGCUGCUCGGAAGGGUGGCCUUUAAGUCGUUUCUGAAACUCCCUCAAGUGUUUGUCAUUUGAAAAAAAACGUGAGUAGUUGAUAACCUUCAGUGUAUUAAUGUACAAAUGCUGUGAAAUGCUAACAGCAUUCUUGCACUUGCCAUUCACUUCUUUAUAUGAGAUAGAAGUUGUUAGUGUAGAAUAUCAGAGUAGAAAUUCUUUACCAUGUAAUUGAUAUGCCUGCUUAUUAAUUACAGACCUGCAAUUUAGUCUGAAAUUAUUGUAUGAGUAUUAGAGAAACAGAAGAGCUAUAUUUCUGUUUUAUAAGACAGUAAACUUUUAACAUUUCUAAGACUAGAAUAUUACAGGUCUCAUCAGUUGUGUGGUGGUUGUUUUUUUUUUUUAGGUUAGUGUACUAGAGAAAAAAAUAAUAUAAGUCCUGAAUAUACACUAGUGUCUUGCUUCUUUCCCUCCUUUAUUGCACACUUUAAAGCAAUGUUUAUAUAACUUUUUGUUUACUCUGCUGAAUUGAAUAUACUCUGAAGCAGUGCUCCUUUUUCAAGUAUACAUGUUAAAACUUCGUUUUUAAUGCAAACACUUGAGACAAAUGGAUCCUGAUAAGAAACACAAUGAAAAGUUAUCAGAUUAAAUAAUUUAAAGAUUCCAGGUUUCAUGUUUUUGUUCACGCUGCUAUAAAGAACUAGAAAAAAUACACAGCAAAUGUGUGAGCUCUCUGAAUGUUCUGUUUUGCCAGAAAUCUUAACUUUCUGCCUUUUUUCCACAUCCGUGUAAGAAAUGUUUCACAACUGAUUUCACUAAAUAAGUGGAAUGAGAGUAGAAGGUCUCUAGUUAGUGCUUUAGAGCUGAGAGUUCAGGAUGGAAAGAGGGUGGAAUAGAAAUAGCUUAGUGUUCUUUAAAACAAAAAGCAACACCCCCCAGCCUCCUGCAAAACUCAGUUGGAAGCAGAAAGAUGCUGUCAUAGCUUCGUGUAGCAUGGCCAGUCCUAAUUAAAUCCAUUUGAUGUGUGUAGGAAAACAAUUCUUUAGUCCCUGAUUAUGCCUUCAGUGGGGCACGACCAGCUUAACCCAGCAGCUCUGCAUAGUGUUUCCUGUGAGAGCAGCCAUGAUCAUUCUCUUUGCUGAAGCUCGCUCUGAACAUGCCUGUGCAGUUUAUUGUGAGAAAAUUGGGGCAGCUAUUCCAUGCUAUUUCAUCACUUGGCUUUCUGCACUGCUAUUUUGUGAUACUGUAGCAGUUGGCUCACAAGUACCCUGAGGCAUUCAGUACAGAGUGGAGUGGGCCAUAUGCUGUCUGCUCUGCUUUUAGAGAAAAGUAUGAUGUAGGAAAAUGGAUUGAACUGUUUCUAUGAGGACAGUUGCUUUGUAACUGCAAUGCAAAAAAGAAAUGUACUGAAGAGGUUAUUGAAUUUGUAUCUGCUGCGAGUAAAAUAGUGGUUUUUAUACAUUAAAUUGGUGUAUCUUUUCAUUAGGUGGAUAGUUGUUUGGUUUUGUGAAGCAUUUGUUUCUUAGAGGUAACUAUGAUUUGUAUGCUUACAAAGAAGUGUAAUUGUUAAUUGUUGUGAAAGCUAAUCAAUGGGAGUACAAGAGGUUUUUGUAAGCUUUUUGUUUCUGAGUAUAAAAUGUAUUUAUCAUCUGAGAAUAGUAAAAUGCAGUUUCUAUAUUUUUUUUUUCAGGUUUGUAAGUGUUGUGAAACUACUCAUAUUUUAGCCAUCAAAUGUAACAUAUCCAUGUUUCAUAGCAGUAUUUUCAACAGUUCGUGCAAGGAUAGUGCUGUGCUGUCUUUUUCACUUCCAGAAAUGACAAAAAAAAAAAGUCCUGUGUCUUCAAGAAAGACAACAUAAAACCUGUAGUCCUAAACUAUUUUAAUCUGAGGGAAAGCCAAAGACCACAGUGUAACUUAGAACCACUUAGAGGAAUCUUGUGGAAUCAUAUGGUGCUCUUUUUAAGAGAGGGCCAUAAAUUAUUAGAGUUCUUAUAACACUUCAUCUUUGAAGAAUAGUUGAACUUGGCUAUUGUACACUUAAGUAUCAAGUAUUCCUCUUGAAACCUAAUAGUUAAAAUAAUAACUUAUCUCAGUUGUUUAGUGUCCUCUUUGUUUUGCUAGAAAACAUAUGCUCAUCAUUAAGGUAGUUCUAAGCAAAGUGUGAUGUAGUGAAUGCAAUCACUUCAUUGCCUAAUAACUUACAAAGCCAACAUCAGAGGAAAAAGUUUUAGAACCUAUAGCACAAUUUAAGAAAAUGAUCUUCAUAGACCUAGAGUAAGAGGGCUGGUAUAUUUAGUCUGGUAUGUAUCUUUUAACAAACCAGUUUUCUGGUUUGUGUGUCUUCUGAUUAUUUUGCAUAGGAUACUUCCAGAGGUUGUCGCAUCAAGUUAGAGAGAGUACAGCAGGCAAACAGGUAGUUAGCAGUCAUUCAGCCAGGUAGUGCAAACAAGGGAAAGAGAAGAGAGUAACCAGAACUCUUCACCUCCACAGUUUAAACAGGAUGUCACAGCAGUGACUGAUUUCAGAGAAUUCUGAGCUAUUACCUUGUGCGUUAUAAUAAUCUAUAAUCAAUGUUAUUAUAGUCUUUACUAGUGAUGUCUGUUCUAUAAAGAGCAAGCAUAUAGUCCAUCUCAACAAUGCUACUUUUAAAUAGCCGGAAAGAAUAAAGAAUCUUGAGGGGGGAAAAAAAAAACAAAAACAAAACCAAACAGUGCUUUGUUAAUGUUGCCUUUUAAUAUAGUAUAAUAAAAUGUCACUAUUGAAAGGCAAAAAUAUUUCAUCCUUGUAGUUUCUCAGGUAAUUAAGAUGCUGUGAUUCAUGGAUGUAGUUUUGGAAUGCCUUAUGUGUCAGUAUGAAUGGCAACAUUUACAUAAACAGUACAAAUAACCAGUGAUACUGUUUUCUACUAGUUAUGCAGGUUUAACACACCUGGAGAAAAAGAUGGUCUUAUAGUUUAAAAUUGACUUUAAUUCACUAAAACCAUUAAUAACAUUGCUAUUUUCUCAACAGAGUGUAUUUAUUACUCUUAGCAGAACUAUCCUCUAAGGAACCGAAGUUUUAAAAAAUUAUAUUUUGUAAGAAAAUACUUUUGAACCCUUUUAAAAUAACUUUUUCUGUGAUUCAAAUACUGUGUCAUUUAUUACAGUUCUCAAAUCCCUCUGUAAGAAACUUUUCCAGGCUUCUAAUAAUUAUUUUAACAGCUUUUUCUGUAUUGUUUCUUGUUUUCCUCUGUCAUGUAAGUUGUGUUCAUGUUGGCUAAGUCAGUGCUAUAUAGAUAUGCAAUUUUUCUGUACUCUUUCCUUUGUUAGUGUUUCUACAAUGAAAUAUUAUACCUGCUUUUUUGCUUUACAUUUACAUGGAAUUUUAUCUGCAGUUUGAUUUUUUUUUUUUUUUUUACUGUGGCUGCUUUUUCAGGAUACUUCUCCUAAGUGUGAUGCAUAAUCUUUACAUAGUGCAGCUUUGUUACUAGAAAGUGUCUUGUAUGAGUGUAUGUGGCUUGAAGAAUAUGCAUUGCCUUAGUUCUGUCAGAAUUUACUGUUCUUUCACCAAUUUUGUGCUGUCAUCUGUACAGUCGUCUUCGAGAUUUUAUACUCUAUAUGAUUAAGAAAAAGUAAAAGGUGCUGGUCUGUGCCGUAAGCCGUUCCAUCUGUAGGUCACAAGGGGCUCUGUAGGUUCAAGUCAAGUUCUCAUUAUCACUCAACUCUGUUUAAACACAGUUUUCUGGUAGUAGCACUAAAUGUACCUUGAAAUCUUGGCACAUUCCCAAAGCUUGUGCUUUUCUUCACUGCCACUUGAGUGUAGUGUCAGAUACAAUAGCAGUAUUAGAGUAUCUCUUUCACAGCUGGAGCCAAUGCCAAAUUUUUUUCCAACUAGAUGUUUCAAAAUAGACCAUCUCUUUAGUCAAGGAUGUGCAAGUAAUGCAGAUUUUAAAAUUAGCUAAUAAUCUUACUUGCUUAAGCCAUUUAUUUUUUUGUGUGUGUCCUUGAGAUUUCAUUGGAUGGUGGUAUUUGGUUUGCUUAAUUAUUGCUAUGUAUUCCUGCACACUCUGAGUUGUCAUUAGUGCGUGACAGCCAGAAUGAUUGUCAGUACUAGAAGAAUGUUCUGAAAAUCCUGACCAUGAUGUACACUAAAACAACCAUUGUAAUGUUGGUCCUCGUAAUUUGUUUAUUAAUAAGUUUGUACAUCUACUUGAUAAUGGGUCAUUUAACAUGGAUCAUGGAACAAUAAAUACUUUAAGCAAAUACUUUGAGUUUGUUGUUCUUUGCUGUAUCAUAUUGCCUCAAAGACUUUCUUCCCUCUUGUCCUAGACUAAGUGCUUUCAUGCAGCAGUUUUGAGGUGCCUCAUUUUUUAAACUUGAAAAUAUGCUUUCCAUAUACUGUUUCUGAUGCUUUUCCUAUUGGAUUAUUCCUGUUGGUUUUCAGUACAAACUGAUAAUUCAUACCUGUUCAUUUUUGCAUAUUUCUUUUAGUGUAACUUUUAUUUUUUGAUCUCCUGCGUGGUUAUUAAACAUCAGAUGGGCACUUGGAUUUUUUUAAUUGAAUCAUUCUUUGAAGUUAUGGCGUCUUUAUUCUUUUCAAUCAAAGAAGAGUCUUUGAAAUGUAAAUGAAAAUUGAAAGUACAAAGUGCUGGUAUAGAUUUGUAGUAGCUCUUGUUUUGUUUUUCAAUGUAAGUAGUGUGGAUUUGCAUCAGUAUAGCUGAUGAUAGCAGAGUCCCGUUAGAAAACUUGCAUCCAGUGAUUUGGCUUGGAUUUUUUCAAAUAAAUAUUUGUGCAUUAUUUAGGGAUGUUUGUGUGCAGUUUGAUUACAUUGUUAGAUUGAAGGAAGAUCAAGUACUCAUAGCUGAGCGAUGCCGUAAACCAAAUAUCUUGAAAAAGUAACUUUGGCAUGUGGAAAAAAAUUAAAACAGUCCUCUGAACAACAGCUGUGCUCUCUUUUUAGUGGUACAGUGUGAUACUACCCAAUAUUCCUGAUUAAAUUAAUGUUAAAUACUGGUUUGAAUGUGAUAGGUUCUUCAAAGCAUUUAACUGGUUAUUAAUCUCUCUUCCUGUUUUGUGAACCAAGAAGCCUCCACUUCAGUCUGAUUUUUUUUUUUCUUUAAUGAAUAUUAUAGUAAAUUAGAAACAAUGCCAAUUAAGAAGAAAAAAAAAAAGUAGUUUUUGUUUUCAUUGUAUAAAGUGCUAGUCUCGAUUUGGAAACACCCUAACCCACCCUUCCACCCUCCUCCCCCCUUUGCAAUCUGCUCUGAAACACAGAUUAGAGCUGUAACCACCGGAGGGAGCAAAUUGCAUGAUUUGGACUCUUCACUAAAAAUGUCUCCAGUUGUCAAGAACCGUAGGCUAGGAAAUAACCCAUGGCUAAUUCACUCUCCUGUUUUUUGCAUCAGAAAAGAAUCCAUUUGGAAAUUAACAAUUAAUGUUAAAUCUCAAGUGUAAGAAAUAUUGGGCAUUUUAGUUUAUCAAUAUUUAUGUUGACUAAUGCAAAUGUGACAGCAGUUGAUCAAAGAGUGAACAUGUAGAAAAAAAGAUAUGUGAUUUACAUUUUAUUUAAAAUGCUGAAAGCUUUUCCUUGAUCUGUUUAUCAUAUUUUACUGAAGACAUUGAGUAUGUUGGUAGAUGACAAAUAAACUUGUAAAUCAGAACCUGCAGGAAGGCAGUACAAUAAACAUUUACAUAUUUCCUGCUAUUGUGCAGCAAAACUUAACCAGUCAGCUAGAAGACCAUUAAUUUUUACAUGCUUACAUUAAAUAGUCCCAUUGAAGUCGGUGGCAAUUCCCAUGGUUUAAGGUAGGUGUUCCUGACUUUAAUUUCCUCACAUUCACUCAGCAGCAGCAAUACUAGGUCCAGGUGGUGUAUGAGGCCCUAUUGCUGGGGAGUGGUGUCUCCAAACCUCCAUAAAGACUUCUACUCCCUUAAGUAAGAAACCUGUGCUGCUGGCUUUGCAUCCAUGCCUCCUCAGCCUCCACUUUGUACCUACCUGAGCAGUGUCAGUGCAGUGGCUGGAAAACAGAGGGUGGACACAAGGUCUGUGGCCGUGUACAGGAGGAGGCUGUUAGGAAGCAUGAUGAACGUGACGCUCUUAGUCACUUAGAUUUAGAUAGUGCUGUGAGGAGCAGGGAGUUGGACUCGAUGAUCCUUAUGGGUCCCUUCCAACUAGAGACAAUCUGUGAUUCUAUGAACAGAAGUGGCCCAUGUGGAGAUACUUUGGUUUAAGUUUGUAUCUUUAUUCAAGCAGGAUUAUGAGCUGCUCAGGCAUGCCACUUUGAAGUGGUUUAUAUGUCACACAUAUAACUGUUGCAGACAGACUAAAAAUGUUUUAUUUCUGUACCCUUUUUCCAGUAGUCAUGAGUGUGUGCAUAUAGAGGCCAGUAGCACUUGUUUGGAGAGAAUACAAAACCAAAUACUGCUAUAAGGAUGCAUUGAUGUAGUAUACAUUAUAAUUAUUUUUAAAAAAGCUAAUAAUUUGGCAUUUCUAAGUGUACUUUUGUGUUUCAAGGAUUCUUGAGAUAUAACAUUGACCAGAAGGAACUGUGAAAAACUUCAGGUGGGGCUGGGGGAUGGAUGUAUUUACGUAGACUGCAGAUAUGUUCAGUGUCAAAGCACAAAACAAAACACUGUUUUAAAUUAAAAAUGAGAAAACAGCUGUAUCUCAUUUUUUUUCAAUUCACCUAGCAUCUAUUCUGAGAAUAUAAUAGGUUCGAGGAUGGGUAUAUUUCUGCUUCUUCAGUCUUGCUUCUGUAUGAAAUUAUUUGCAAAGUGUAGUCUCAACAUCUGUGGUUGUUCAACACUAGCUUGUAUAAAAUGUAUUGAAGUAAAUCUUGAAUUUCAAAACUGUUUGAGAUAUUUGAUUUAUAUUGACCUUGCUGAUUAAUAGGCUGUGCUUGUUAGACAUUUGAAAGUUGUAAAUCAUCAGAUUUGAAUUAUAAAUUCACAUUUAUGGAAUCUAAACUGCAAAGGUGUUUCAGUGAUAUCAAUCCUGCUUUCUUUUAAGUGAACGGCUCUUUUAGAUACAUGAAAAUCACAUCUUAAUUUACCCACUUUAAAUGGUAUCUCUUUUUUUAGAUUAUAGCAUGUUAUAAUAAAAGAAGGGCAAGAUAAAUUUUUGGCUAGUGCUUGAAAUGAACUGAGCAUCCCUGCAGUUGUCUGUUUCUCCCCCAGAUGGAGUAUUUUGUAAGUAGUAGUACUGCAAUAGAGAAUAUUUGAUGUCAUGUUGGACAGGGUGGUUUUUAAGUUAUUGAACAGAGGAACACUCCCUGUUUUCUAAAAGAAAGUUUAAGUUUUACAUAGUUAGACUUCAUAAGUCAAAACUUGGCUGAGGUAAUUGUCCUAAUACUUUCUGAUAUUGCAUUAAAUUUUGUGUGAAUGUGAUGAGGAGGAGUUGCUCCCUAUAGUUAUUUAUUAAACAAGGUCUUUCAAACAGAUGUCUCAGCUGGAGGAAUAGAGAAUAUCUUCUACUGUAUUGAGUUCUAUGCCAUCAUACUUAGGCUUUUCUCUUUUGUCAGUUUAAAACUGAUGCAUUUGUACUACUGUCUAGCCCCUACCGUGACUGCCUUUAAACAUCACUUCUAGAUCUUUUAUUAACAAAUGUUUGACAGAUGUGCUCAGUUGUCUUACAGCUGUCUUAAAUUGAAGUCAUUUCUCAAUGUGAAUGGUCUAACAAAACCUGACCCAAUAUAUACUAAACCUUAAGAAAUUAAAGUUACAAUUAAAAAGAAAGGUUUUACUUGGAUUAUGUAAUGUACUUUAGGUUAGUUUGAGUUCUGUAGAAUAUUCUCAUCAGUUACUUCACAGGAUUUUUAUUCCAGGUUAAAGCAGAUUGAUGCAAAAAUAGGAAAGAAUAUCCAUGAAUAUGUUCACAGAAAUUACUUGUGAGUUUUAAAUCUUGUCAGACCACAGUUUAAGAGCAAUUUGAUGAAAGGGUUUAAUGACAUAUUUGCUUAUGAUAAUAAAGUGUUAGACUUAAUGACCUGGGGAUCUCCUCCAGCGCAUUGUUUUUAUGGAAGCUUCCAUUUAUGAUAAGUAGUUUCAAGAUUUUUAUAACAAAUUUCAGUCAAAGUCAUUUCCCUUGCCCCACAGAGUUCUGUAGUAGUCUGUGGUUUAGGCUCUGCUUUUCCCCCUAGUGAUUCUUACAAAAAUGUAUAAGGAUUGUGGAGAUUGCUGCUUUUUUUUUUCCCCUUAAAGUUUUUAAGAAAAUUUAAAGUGAAAUAACAUGCUUUGUAGUAGAAGUGCUCAAGUCCAUGACUGUAUCAUUUCUGUAGUAAGUUUUGUUAUAGCUAUAGUAAGAGAGAGAGCUUAAAAGAAGCAGAUAAAGUCUGGCUUGUUUUCUGAACAGCACUCUUUAUCCUGAAAAGAGACGCCAAGAGAUAUGUCUUUUUACUACCAAAAAACCUCCUCUCUGAACUCUGAUCUCACAGGCUGUCAAUAGUGACCUCUACCUGUUGUUGCUAAGUAGUUAUGAAUUACAUGUUUUCUGGAGGCUUUCAGGAGUUGAGUUUUUCCUGAUGACCAUUAACUUGAAAUUCAAGAAAGCAUCCUCCUUCAGGAAAAUAUGUAAGCACAUGUUUAUCAGCCAUUCAGAUGUUAAAAUGCAGGUGAGGUGCUACACCUGUGAUAUAGUGGAGUAUAAAUCUUGUUUGAAAGCCAUGUAGUUGCUAUAGUCAAUUAAAAUUAAGCCUCAUUUUAUUUGAGGGGGGAGAAGGUGACCUUUCAAAUAUACUUUAAAAAUAUAUAUACAUGCACGAUUUUAUUGAAUGGCUUUUUCUCUUAUGUCAGAAAAUUUUGGCUUAAAUGUACCUUUCUUUCUAGAUGGAAAAGAGAAGCUACAUCCUUUGAUGUCAGGGAAACUCAUGCAUGCUUUGUCAUGGGCAGCUGGUGAAGGAAGUGCUUUCCUAUCAUACCGGUUUCUCAGCUGAUAAAUUCUGCUUGGUGCAGGUGGUAAUGGACUGUAUAUUUUUAAGGCUGGCCCAGAUUCUGAUGUGUUAGGAUUUCAUGUUCAGAACUGUGGGAAAUGUUUGUAUGAUAGCUUAGGGUUUUUAGUGCAUCCUAGUUAAAUAUCCUCAAAGUGAAGCACAGUGGAAAAGCUUUAAAACGUGGUUGAAAACUAACAUUUUUAUUAGAUACUGCAUCUAGCAUGAUGAUUUUUGUAGACUGGAAGACUUAUCACACAUUCUUUAUGGAUGGGACUGUAUAUCCUAUGAAACAUUGUAAGCCCUCAAACUGAGCUGCCACAAUUUAUAAUGAAAGAUGAAGAUCUGAGGCAGACAGUCAGCAAAGACAAUGGCACUCACCAGAGUAUGGACACUAUUCCAUUUAAAUGUUUCUUGUUUUGAAAAAAUUCUGGGUUCUCUAAAUUGUUCAGCUUUUCAGCUACAAGUACAAAUUUCCCAAGAAACUUGACAUUCUAUGAAAUACUUUUGCUGUUGAAAUUCUGGGUUAACUUUCUUCGACAAGCCAACUGAUAGGAACUUUUGUCUUUUCCUUCAUUAAAAAGUCUUAUAGCUUCUCUUUCACUUACUCAUUUUAGGAAUUAGGUAUCAGUAUGGAAUAUCUAUCAUACCCUGAGAAGAGUUGUCCUAAUAAUUAGUUAUUCACAAUGUUUUACUUCUGCCAUGUACAUUCAGUGUAAAAUUAUCAAGAUUCAACUUCUUGCAAUUGUUUUUUGGUAUGCCCAUAUCUGCUAUUUAUGACCCCAUAUUAGGUAUGUUCUUGUGAUACAGACACUGGUAGACUGUUGAUAACACUCUCUGUAUUCAUAAUGUUAAAUUCACUUUCUUGAGUCUGUCUCUAGAAUAUAAGCUUUCUUGUAAUUUUUUUUCUGCAACUUUUUCUGAAGCUGUCCUGUUCAUCAAAUUAAUAAUUUAGGGAUUAUUUUUGUGAUAAAUAUUUUAAUAGAACUCUGUCUUUAUGCCAAGAUUAGCAAUGAAAUUAUUGGUUCUUAAAUUCUUCCAUGCAGAAGGUGGGUGUAUUCUGGGAGUUAUUAACUUUUGAUGACCAUUUUUAUGGAGAUUUUCUGUAGAGGUCUGUAGUGUUUGUGUUUUUCUUUGUUGUUGCCCUUAGGACCAGAAAAGAAUUGUGUGAAUUCCCAAGUCAUACAGUGAAUUUAAAUGGGAAUAAAGCCUGUGAUAAUGAUUGAUAUAAACAACUGACACAAAUACUGGUAAUCAGGUAUAAACAACUGACAUAAUUUAUAUUGAUAACAUGAGGUAUCUGCUAUCUCAAUUCUCAAACCUUUUGUAGCAUGAUAACCUUUUGAAAAAUAAUUUCCGGAGUAACUACUUCCAGUUAUUACAAUUAUAGGCAUUAUAAAAUUAUUUUAGACCUUUCUUAUAAGCAUAUGUAUCCACAUGUGCUACAUUAUCAGGGAUAGCUGUGUACAGUGCUGUUCAUUGAAUGCUUAACUGAAAAACUGUUAUAUUUUUAAAAUUCUAGCAAUUCCAAAUAAAUAUAUAUUUGCAGAUGCCAGAAGUAGUAACUAGGUGAGUCACCUACCCAUCUGUUGAAUAUCUUAUGAGUAAACUACCAGGUAAGAGAGUGAGCUGAAAUAUAUCAGUAGGUGGCAGAAAGGCACUAGCAUUGAAAUUAAGAAAACUGUUGCUUUACCUGUGUAACCAGAACCUGACAUCUAUGCCUUUAUAAUAAAGUUUUGAUCUUUCUCUUCUUUGAGCUCCAGACCCUUUGUUGAGACUUCUGUCUUGAUGUUUUCUGUCUUGACAACAACCUUUUCCUACAUUGCCAUUUACUGUUCUCCAGUUAGUUCAAAAUCUGCCAUCAGAAGGAACUUUUCAGAUGCUUUGAUGCAAGUAGACAGGUUCUCUUUCUGUGAUGCUCAGGGAAGACUGGGAGCUGGUGAAAUGAGCAAGUGCUCACAACACUGUGAUAACCCUUCAUCUGAUACAGGAGUUCCUUGAGGAUACUGCAGCUAUAAUAUGGAAUAGUUAUUUUGCUGUUCUGUGGGAGAUUUUUGCUAGAGGUCAUUUUUGUGUAAGUUUGAAAAGGUGAACUCUGAGCUUAGGAUGCUUGAAUCUUUGAUCUGCACAUCAGCAUCUUGUAUUCAGCAGUGGUUAAUGGUUCAAAGUGCAAUGCUGUAUGAAAAGGACAUACCUGACUUCCAUGGGCUUUGGAAAUUUUAUGACUGCGUCAAUGCUCUGCUGUAUGUUGAGCUAAGAAAACCAAGCUAGCAUAUGAGGAACCAGUUCUGGUUGUACCUGCAGCACUGUUGGUAGUUACUGGUUGAGUCUGCCAACAAAUAGUUUUAUCUUUGUGUUCUCCCUUACAUCAUCUUUGCAUUUUGAUAGGAUGUGUCCUAAGUGUUGCAAUGGGCACUCAUACUAAAAAGAACUGUCUUGGAUCAUUUACAAUUCUGUUCUCAGGUCCUCAGGAGCAAUUGAAAGUAAUAUGAAAUUAAAUAUAAAAUAUUCUUAUGGUAUUCACAAAACUCUGUAGGAGGUUUGGGUGUUACAAAAACAAGGUGAUAAGAUUUUUAUAUUUUCAGAGUGAUGAUAUUCUACAGUGUCCAGUAUUAUAACAAUUGCAGUGGGUAUUAUUGUGUAUGAGUACUCUGUAUGUCUCGAAGCUGAUGUGAAGGCAUCUCCCCACUUUGCUACUGCAAUUCCAAAAUAGCCUUUUCCCCAAACCUUUUAGGGAAGCAUUUCUUUUGUCCAAUUUGUGACUACAAUGGAAGGUGGGGGCGUAUUUCCCUCUUGAUGAGGAGAACAUGACACCCUGAAGGAGGAACUGAAAUGAGGUUUGUCUGAGCAACACAAAGACUUCAGAGAAGAAUAAAACGUUCAGUCACAAUGUUUUGAUUAUUCUAUUCAAGUUCCAGAUUCUGCAUUCAGCUAUAGCUGGUGCCUAUCAUGAGAACAUACACAGUAGGAAGUUUGGGAGAAAAGAAUGAAUUAAGGGCUAUUUAGAUUAUACCUGUGCUUGUAAUAACAUUUUUAACUGGCUAUUUAACGAAGUCCUUUUAUUUAAAUUAUCUUUGUCAACUUGAAUAGGAUAAUGGAAAGUGAACUGCAAAAUACUGGAGGUCUUAACAGCAUAAAAUAGAAUCAUUCAGAUUGGAAAAGGCCCUUAACAUCAUGGAGUCCGACUAUAAACCUAACACUGACAAUUCAAUUUCAUUUUACAAGUUCCUUAGAUUUUACUGUUUAAGUGCAUCAUUCCAAGAUUUCUCUUCCACUUCUCAGAUACUGAAGGACUAGUAAAAGACUGUUUCCCAAGAGUAUUUGUCACAGUAUGUGUCCUUCUGGGAGAAGUCCACGGCUGUUCUUCAGGUGUUGGUGUCCUUUUCCAGAACUUACUUUAAUACCUUAUGGAUCAAGCACACUGGAUGAAGAUGAUGCUGAUAUUUAAAGGACACCAGAAGUAAAAAAUGCAUAAUAAAUGUAAAUGAGGUGGGAGAUUACUGAAACAAUCUGUUUUAAGUUCAUUCUAAUUCUUGCAGAAUUAUUACUUACUUUAUAGUGAGGAAAAAAGUAAAAUAUUUAAUUGCUAGCUAAAUACAGACUAUGACUUGCUAUGAUAGUCAAACCUGAAAUAACCAUAUAAUAAUACAUCUCCAGGAGAGUUUUCAAGACAGAUGAUGCAAACUCUGGCAACUCUUUCCAGUGGAAGGUGGGGGGGGAGGCACAGAGGAAGAAAAGGAUUCUCUUAAAAACACACAAAUUUUUUUGUAUGUAGGUGAGAAACAGUAUUACAGAGAGGAAAAAAAAAAUCUGGUAACCAGUUUAUUCCUUAUACUUUUGCAUAUAGUAUUACAUCAAUUUGGCUGUGGGCAAUAAGAACAAUGUGUAGUAGUAGUAAUUUACACUCUUGUGUAAAUAUUUUCUGUAUUUUUGGGGAAAAAAGCAUAGGUGCUUUUGGGAAUGUCUAUUUUAGAAGGAAGUCUUUAAAUAAACAUUUGCACAUUUUUACUUCUGUGUCUAAGAAAAGCAUAUGGCAUAUGAAGUGCUUAGCAGAAUCAAAUAUACUUGUAUUUGUACCACAACAAUUUAUUGAAAAGUAACUGUUCUACUGUAUCAAGUCUAGGAAAGCCCUCUGCUUUCUGCAUUUAGUUUGAUCCACUAAGUGGAAGGUACAAGAAAUCCUGUCAUAGAUACUUAUUGACUCAUUUGCAUUAAGAGAUGUUUCUUCCUUACCCCCAUUAGUAUUUGGCAUAAAUCCUGAAUGAUUUAAUUAGCUACGUAAAUGUCUAAUCUCUUGAAAAUCCUGCUAAGCUUUUGCCCUCACUGAAAGCUGUGAUAAUUUGUUCUAGUUAAUUUCAAAUUUAAAUGCAGUGCCUUUCAGUUCCACUAAAUGUUCCUUGUUUUGUUUUUUAAUAAUGGAGCGAUUAAUAACACCAAUUUUACCCUGUCUGUCCUAUUAUUUUGCACCCCUCUGCUGUUUGCUCUUACUAGAUUCUUCUUCAAGUAAUACCAUUUUUUUCAGUGUCUGUGCAGUCACUGUGAUUGUAUGUAAGGUAAAAUUAAAUGCUUAUGGAAGCUGAUGCCAUUAAUCCAUAUUUUUCAACAUACACUGGUAUUUGAAGACAGAUGUAAUUUGGGCUGUAAUUAUUCUUCUGACAUAUGAGAGACUUUGAUCUAUUCAGAGUUGUCCUGCACAUUUUUCAAAGGAAAGAGAACAAUCUAUAGAAGGUUGCAGAAGAAAGUGUUGCUUUAAAUCUGUUUUAUAGUCAUACUGUAAGUAUGUAAGAAAGUGUUUUUACUUUAUUUUCCACUGCAAGUGUACAUAAUUGCUGAUAUUUUCUGUUGAUAUAGGGGGGAAAGAUAGCAUUUGUACUAACUCUGGAAAAAUUAUUUUGGGAUCUGUUAAUGGGGCUGUAUUGUAAGGGGAUGUGUUAACAAGCACUUUGCAUUUUUAUCCCCUUCAGAAUGUUGACUGCUUUAUCAAUGGGGAUAGAUUGUAAGAAUGUGGAGUGAAAUCAGCAGGGAGAUAGUUUCCUGUUAAAAAUAAACCAAUGUGUGUACUAACAUGAGUAUAAACAGGAAUAUAUGAACAGGGAAUGGCUUGUGGAAACAAACAAAACAGGCAGCAUUUUCAAAGAGACGGUGAUGAUGGAAGUGCCUCCAAGCUACUUUUGUGUUCUCACAAUCCAGUUGAUCAAGGAAGUGGAAAAAAUUCUUGAUGUAUCUUGGCCUUUGUGGUCUCUGCUGGGUGCGGUGCUGCAUGCUUCCUACCUUUUUACCAACCAGGUCUCCUAAGCCUUAGGAGACUUUACAUGAGAUUCUCACAAUGGACUUACAACUGUCUCCGUGUUGAGGGAGGAUCCCUUCUUUACAGCAUGUAAUCUGAAUCCAGGUAUAGAAGCUGCAUAGGGCUUUUCUACUAGUGGAGAAUGUGUUUCCCAGUAGAAUCUUAUCCUGUUUUCACAUCUGUCAUUCAACAGUCUUUUGGAUGCAUGGAAACACACCUACUUCUUCAUCUGUCAAUAAAGAUAGUCUUCUUGGUAUUCAUAAUCUUUGCUACAAGGUUAUGGAAUAUCCAAGUCCUUGGUGCUACUGCACCACAAUGAACAAGCGCUAAGAUAAGAUAUGAGCACUGACAGAGGAUGCAGGGCCAGCAGCACAGAACCACUCCAAAAUACAGGUACUUUCCCUGGAAACUCAGCCUCUGUGACAUUCCUGAAGAAUUUCUCAAUCUCUGGAGAUACGCAGCGAUGCCAUCUGUAGUGUCACUUACCUUCCUGCAAAAUCUAUGCAUCUGAACAUACUGCAACACUUAGCAAACCAUUAGUGUUGUCACUGUUUUAAAAACAAAACAACUAGAAAGCUGUUCUCUAAGUAACAGUUGAUAGGUGGCUGGAAUGCAAAUGUGCGUGUGUUUGACCUCUGUAGAAAAGGCUAAAGCAGAACACUGUUUGGUAAAAUCUUUCACAAUGUUGUGCUGACAAAAGGCAGAAUCACAAUCUGCCCUUCUUGUCUACUGUGGAGUCCCAUUAAUAAAUCUGGAGGUCAAAUUGUAAGGAGGCUAAAUCUUAAAAGUACCCAGUCAGAUGAGCUUGAGUAUUGGAACCUCCAUAACACAACUGUGUCAAUACGCAUACAAUAAUUUUCAGUUCUGUUCAAUUGUCUGUUUCAAUUUUCUGAAAAUUUCUAGGGAAUGCUUCACAUAUCUAUAUUUGUUUUCUUAAAUAAGGCAAAGAUACCUAGAUACUGAGGAUGCAUGGAAGAAGGUGUUUGAGGAGCAAGUAAUUCUUGACAAGAGCUUGUUUACCAGAUAAACUGAUUGAGUCCACAAAGAGUAAUUGUAAAAUGCUUCAUUUAAACUGUGAGCAUUGCACAUAUAGUAGAGCAUUUUUUUAUGUAUUAAAAGGUUUUAGCUAGAGAGUGGUUAUUGAUAAAGACGUGUAGCAAUUCUUUGUUAAAUAAUCCUUCCAAGUUGCAGUUACAGCUGUAAUACUUUUUUUUUCUCCUCACGAGAAACCAUAUCAGAUGCUAUACAUGCAUUUGCAGUAACUGAAGCUGUGUAUCAAACUGACAGUCAUUUUUCAGAAAUUACCAGCAAAGAAUUUUCUCUCUAUGCCUGUUUUCAUCCAUAUCCAAAUAAUGUCUCGUUCGUGCAGUUCUACUUAGUUUCUGAUCAAUCAUAAAUAAAUAUCCUUUAGUUAAAUUAUAAUCUUUAAAAACAAAGUUACUGUUGCUUACUGUUGCAUGGAAUAUGAUAAUAGACUAGAAUAUUUCAGUUGGAAGGGACCUACAUUAAUUAUCUACAUAAUGAUUGAAAACUAGGAAAUUAAACUUUUUGGUUGCAAAGUGUUGCAAGACCUUAACACAUCUUUUCAGUACUACAAGAAAUGAGCCAGUCUGUUAUGUUGUUUAUAUUUUUUUGUCGGAAGACUCCAAGUAUAUGUUAUCUGUGGAAUAAACUAUAAACUGGCAUUCUACUAGCUGUAAAUCUCUUAGUAAUUACUGACUGAGCAUGAAAAAAUCCUACAGAAUAUAUAGUCUUAGAGUGGGCUUUUAAAUGAUUCAUGGACUACGGAAAAUGAAUACUUCAAUGGGCUGUUCUGUGGAAGUGUUCUUUUAUCCUGCUGUUUCAGGAGAGCAAAUUCAAAUGUUCGACGAAAACUAAGUAGCAUUUCCAAACCGUUUUAGAACGCGUAUGCCAGCUCAUACGUGUGAUAACAAUUUAACUGACUUGCAGUGUUGAACAUUAUACAAUAUACUGAAUCCCAGGUUUGCAGUUUUAAUACCUCUAAGUCUUUCUUAAGUCUCCCUACUUCUCUUGGUAGGACUGGCAGAAGCCACAUCCUUGCUUGCACUGAGGAUGUUCAAAACCUGGAGCGACUUUUAGAUAUUUACUCUUUAAUGAUUCAGUUACAAGUUUACGGUGUGUGUGUCUUGGUUUUUUUUUAAUGUUUAGUAGCAAAUGCAUUCCUUUGUCAGAAUGCAUGUCUUGUUUAUUGAAGUUAUAGAAAUUCAUUACAUAACAUCUAAUUACCAAGCAAAAUGUGUAACGUGAACUUCACAAAUGUGCUUGUGCCGUAACUUCUAAAAUACCAUCGUAAUGGGGGCUAAAAAGAACAGUGUGUAUUUUGUUAUUACUGCUUUAUUUGGUGUUUUAAAACAUUGCUAUUGACAACCUUGUAAUAAAAUAAAACUGGGCACUUGUGUUCAGUCAGAUAAGGCUUUAUCUACCCAAGAGACUCUUGUCCUGUGAACAUUCACAAUGUAGAUCUAAUCAAUUAUUAAAGGAGGAUGCCACAUUA